rnacentral:rRNA from 1 species
AUGGGGUCCGUGCCGGAGGAGUCGGUUGCGGCGGCGGCGCCGGAGGUGGUGUUCCGGUCGAGGCUGCCGGACAUCGAGAUCCCCAACGAGCAGACGCUGCAGAGCUACUGCUUCGCCAAGAUGUCCGAGGUGGGGUCCCGCCCCUGCAUCAUCGACGGCCAGACGGGCGCCUCCUACACGUACGCCGAGGUGGAGUCCCUCUCCCGGAAGGCGGCGGCGGGGCUCCGCCGGAUGGGCGUCGGCAAGGGCGACGUGGUCAUGAACCUGCUCCGCAACUGCCCCGAGUUCGCCUUCUCCUUCCUCGGCGCGGCGCGCCUGGGCGCCGCCACCACCACCGCCAACCCCUUCUACACCCCGCACGAGAUCCACCGGCAGGCGGACGCGGCCGGCGCCAUGCUGAUCGUCACUGAGGCCUGCGCCGUCGACAAGGUGCUGGAGUACGCGGCCGGGAAGGGCCUGCCCGUGGUCACCGUCGACGGGAGGCGCGACGGGUGCGUCGAGUUCAGCGAGCUGAUCGCCGGCGAGGAGCUUCCCGAGGCCGAGGAGGCCGGGAUCCACCCCGACGACGUCGUCGCGCUGCCCUACUCCUCCGGCACCACCGGGCUGCCCAAGGGCGUCAUGCUCACGCACCGCAGCCUCAUCACCAGCGUCGCCCAGCAGGUGGACGGAGAGAACCCGAACCUGUACUUCAGCAAGGAGGACGUGCUGCUGUGCCUGCUGCCGCUGUUCCACAUCUACUCGCUCAACUCGGUGCUGCUGGCGGGGCUGCGCGCCGGGUCGGCCAUGGUGAUCAUGCGCAAGUUCGACAUCGGCGCGCUGGUGGAGCUGGUGCGCGCGCACGGCAUCACCAUCGCGCCCUUCGUGCCGCCCAUCGUGGUGGAGAUCGCCAAGAGCCCCCAGGUGACCGCCGGCGACCUCGCCUCCAUCCGCAUGGUCAUGUCCGGCGCCGCGCCCAUGGGCAAGGACCUGCAGGACGCCUUCAUGGCCAAGAUCCCCAACGCCGUGCUCGGCCAGGGGUACGGGAUGACGGAGGCCGGGCCGGUGCUGGCCAUGUGCCUGGCGUUCGCCAAGGAGCCGUUCAAGGUCAAGUCCGGGUCGUGCGGCACGGUGGUGCGCAACGCGGGGCUCAAGAUCGUCGACCCCGACACCGGCGCCUCCCUCGGCCGCAACCAGCCCGGCGAGAUCUGCAUCCGCGGCCAGCAGAUCAUGAAAGGUUACCUGAACGACCCAGAGUCCACCAAGAACACCAUCGACAAGGACGGCUGGCUGCACACCGGAGACAUCGGCCUCGUCGACGACGACGACGAGAUCUUCAUCGUCGACAGGCUCAAGGAGAUCAUCAAGUACAAGGGCUUCCAGGUGGCGCCGGCGGAGCUCGAGGCCCUCCUCAUCACGCACCCGGAGAUCAAGGACGCCGCCGUUGUAUCACUGAAGGACGAUCUUGCUGGCGAAGUCCCGGUCGCCUUCGUUAUGCGGAUCGAAGGCUCCGAAAUCACCGAGGAUGACAUCAAGAAAUUCGUCGCAAAGGAGGUUGUUUUCUACAAGAGGAUCCACAAGGUCUUCUUCACCGACUCCAUUCCCAAGAACCCUUCCGGCAAGAUCCUGAGGAAGGACUUGAGAGCCAGACUCGCCGCCGGCAUCCCAAGCUAG